rnacentral:rRNA from 1 species
GACGAACGCUGGCGGCGUGCUUAACACAUGCAAGUCGAACGGAAAGGCCCUGCUUUUGUGGGGUGCUCGAGUGGCGAACGGGUGAGUAACACGUGAGUAACCUGCCCUUGACUUUGGGAUAACUUCAGGAAACUGGGGCUAAUACCGGAUAGGAGCUCCUGCUGCAUGGUGGGGGUUGGAAAGUUUCGGCGGUUGGGGAUGGACUCGCGGCUUAUCAGCUUGUUGGUGGGGUAGUGGCUUACCAAGGCUUUGACGGGUAGCCGGCCUGAGAGGGUGACCGGCCACAUUGGGACUGAGAUACGGCCCAGACUCCUACGGGAGGCAGCAGUGGGGAAUAUGGCACAAUGGGCGGAAGCCUGAUGCAGCAACGCCGCGUGCGGGAUGACGGCCUUCGGGGUGUAAACCGCUUUCGCCUGUGACGAAGCGUGAGUGACGGUAAUGGGUAAAGAAGCACCGGCUAACUACGUG